rnacentral:rRNA from 1 species
CCUACGGGAGGCAGCAGUGAGGAAUAUUGGUCAAUGGCCGGAAGGCUGAACCAGCCAUGCCGCGUGAAGGUCAGUGCCCUUUGGGCGUUAAACUUCUUUUGUGCGGGAGCAAUAAUGGUCACGUGUGGCCAGACGAGAGUACCGUACGAAUAAGCAUCGGCUAACUCCGUGCCAGCAGCCGCGGUAAUACGGGGGAUGCAAGCGUUAUCCGGAUUUAUUGGGUUUAAAGGGUGCGUAGGCUGUGAGGUAAGUCAGCGGUGAAAUGCCCCCGCUCAACGGGGUGAAGUGCCAUUGAUACUGCCUGGCUGGAAUGCGGAUGCGGAGGGAGGAAUGUGUGGUGUAGCGGUGAAAUGCAUAGAUAUCACACAGAACACCGAUUGCGAAGGCAUCUCACGAAUCCGCGAUUGACGCUGAUGCACGAAAGCGUGGGUAUCAAACAGGAUUAGAUACCCCAGUAGUC